rnacentral:ncRNA from 2 species
UUUGUUUAAGAAGACUAUGAAUCAUGUAUUGUAGAUGGGCACUUGAUACAUGAGGAGUUAGUAGUGCAACCGGCCUUAAAUUUU